rnacentral:piRNA from 1 species
UGCUGUGAUAAAAAUACCCUAACAAAAGAA